GCUGGAAACAGCCACUCGUGGCGGCGUUGGUACACCGAAUAUCCCUGCACAAACCUCAACGGCACAACGGCAUUAUCAGACGACCGAAGUUCUUCCUGCUCCAAAGGUAACCUAUCGUCAGCUACCUGGCCCGGAGUGGAGCGAACCUGUGCCACUAAUCACCUGGGGGCGCGGUUACGCAGCUGUAUCAACACCAAGCGGCCCGCUCUGGGUACCUGCACGAUACGUUCGACCAUACAAGGAUGGCUGCCAGACCUAUCCUGGCUAAAGCAAAUGUUUGCAUAUGUUAUUGUUAUAGUUGCAGGAUUAAUACUUUGUUGCUGCAUAUUACAGUGUAUUCCUUCACUUAUUAGCCUAUUUGUCCAAGGCUGCCCUUGGCAACGACUUAAUACAAAACAGAGCAUUCAUUAUGCCUGCAAAUUGCUUAAAAACAAAAAGGGGGAGAUGUAGUGAAACAUGCUGUGCUGGCAAACCACACACAUGUUUAUUACAUUUACUCCUGGCUUAAGGUAAAGCAAUGCUCAGGUUAUUGAUUAA